AUGCGGAGGGUGCGAGCGUUAAUCGGAAUUACUGGGCGUAAAGGGUGCGUAGGCGGCUUGAUAAGUCGGAUGUGAAAGCCCCGGGCUUAACCUGGGAAUUGCAUUCGAUACUGUCAGGCUAGAGUAUGUCAGAGGUUGGCGGAAUUCCUGGUGUAGCGGUGAAAUGCGUAGAUAUCAGGAGGAACACCAGUGGCGAAGGCGGCUAACUGGGGCAAUACUGACGCUGAGGCACGAAAGCGUGGGGAGCAAACAGGAUUAGAAACCCUUGUAGUCC
rnacentral:rRNA from 1 species